UACGAAGGGGGCUAGCGUUGUUCGGAUUUACUGGGCGUAAAGCGCACGUAGGCGGUUUGUUAAGUCGGGGGUGAAAUCCUGGAGCUCAACUCCAGAACUGCCUUCGAUACUGGAAGACUUGAGUCCGGGAGAGGUGAGUGGAACUGCGAGUGUAGAGGUGAAAUUCGUAGAUAUUCGCAAGAACACCAGUGGCGAAGGCGGCUCACUGGCCCGGUACUGACGCUGAGGUGCGAAAGCGUGGGGAGCAAACAG
rnacentral:rRNA from 1 species